rnacentral:rRNA from 1 species
ACGAACGCUGGCGGCGUGCCUAAUACAUGCAAGUAGAACGCUGAAGAGAGGAGCUUGCUCUUCUUGGAUGAGUUGCGAACGGGUGAGUAACGCGUAGGUAACCUGCCUUGUAGCGGGGGAUAACUAUUGGAAACGAUAGCUAAUACCGCAUAACAAUGGAUGACACAUGUCAUUUAUUUGAAAGGGGCAAUUGCUCCACUACAAGAUGGACCUGCGUUGUAUUAGCUAGUAGGUGAGGUAACGGCUCACCUAGGCGACGAUACAUAGCCGACCUGAGAGGGUGAUCGGCCACACUGGGACUGAGACACGGCCCAGACUCCUACGGGAGGCAGCAGUAGGGAAUCUUCGGCAAUGGGGGCAACCCUGACUGAGCAACGCCGCGUGAGUGAAGAAGGUUUUCGGAUCGUAAAGCUCUGUUGUAAGUCAAGAACGAGUGUGAGAGUGGAAAGUUCACACUGUGACGGUAGCUUACCAGAAAGGGACGGCUAACUACGUGCCAGCAGCCGCGGUAAUACGUAGGUCCCGAGCGUUGUCCGGAUUUAUUGGGCGUAAAGCGAGCGCAGGCGGUUUGAUAAGUCUGAAGUUAAAGGCUGUGGCUCAACCAUAGUUCGCUUUGGAAACUGUCAAACUUGAGUGCAGAAGGGGAGAGUGGAAUUCCAUGUGUAGCGGUGAAAUGCGUAGAUAUAUGGAGGAACACCGGUGGCGAAAGCGGCUCUCUGGUCUGUAACUGACGCUGAGGCUCGAAAGCGUGGGGAGCGAACAGGAUUAGAUACCCUGGUAGUCCACGCCGUAAACGAUGAGUGCUAGGUGUUGGAUCCUUUCCGGGAUUCAGUGCCGCAGCUAACGCAUUAAGCACUCCGCCUGGGGAGUACGACCGCAAGGUUGAAACUCAAAGGAAUUGACGGGGGCCCGCACAAGCGGUGGAGCAUGUGGUUUAAUUCGAAGCAACGCGAAGAACCUUACCAGGUCUUGACAUCCCGAUGCUAUUUCUAGAGAUAGAAAGUUACUUCGGUACAUCGGUGACAGGUGGUGCAUGGUUGUCGUCAGCUCGUGUCGUGAGAUGUUGGGUUAAGUCCCGCAACGAGCGCAACCCCUAUUGUUAGUUGCCAUCAUUCAGUUGGGCACUCUAGCGAGACUGCCGGUAAUAAACCGGAGGAAGGUGGGGAUGACGUCAAAUCAUCAUGCCCCUUAUGACCUGGGCUACACACGUGCUACAAUGGUUGGUACAACGAGUUGCGAGUCGGUGACGGCAAGCUAAUCUCUUAAAGCCAAUCUCAGUUCGGAUUGUAGGCUGCAACUCGCCUACAUGAAGUCGGAAUCGCUAGUAAUCGCGGAUCAGCACGCCGCGGUGAAUACGUUCCCGGGCCUUGUACACACCGCCCGUCACACCACGAGAGUUUGUAACACCCGAAGUCGGUGAGGUAACCUUUUGGAGCCAGCCGCCUAAGGUGGGAUAGAUGAUUGGGGUG